rnacentral:rRNA from 1 species
AGUGAACGCUGGCGGUAGGCCUAACACAUGCAAGUCGAACGGCAGCACAGUAAGAGCUUGCUCUUACGGGUGGCGAGUGGCGGACGGGUGAGGAAUACAUCGGAAUCUACUUUUUCGUGGGGGAUAACGUAGGGAAACUUACGCUAAUACCGCAUACGACCUACGGGUGAAAGCAGGGGAUCUUCGGACCUUGCGCGAUUGAAUGAGCCGAUGUCGGAUUAGCUAGUUGGCGGGGUAAAGGCCCACCAAGGCGACGAUCCGUAGCUGGUCUGAGAGGAUGAUCAGCCACACUGGAACUGAGACACGGUCCAGACUCCUACGGGAGGCAGCAGUGGGGAAUAUUGGACAAUGGGCGCAAGCCUGAUCCAGCCAUACCGCGUGGGUGAAGAAGGCCUUCGGGUUGUAGAGCCCUUUUGUUGGGAAAGAAGAGCAGCAGGUUAAUACCCCGCUGUUCUGACGGUACCCAAAGAAUAAGCACCGGCUAACUUCGUG